rnacentral:tRNA from 1 species
ACAGGAAUAACAGCAGUAAGGAGAAUAUACCAUUAAGUGAUCACAUACUGGAUGAGUAGUGCUCCUCCUGGACUUCUCAGCAGAGGUUAAUGAAGAAAGCUUUGGUCAAAUUAACUGAUAUAAAUAACAAAUGGGUCAACCAAUCUUCACUGGCAUGUAAGAUCUAUGAUCUAUGAGUUUUGCUGGACUUUUUGGAGAUGAUUACCAAUUAUGGCUGAGAACCCUGUCUACAAUUAAAUCCUUUGUAUAUGGACACCAGACAGAGCCUGCCAUACCCAGGAGGCCAUUGAUUAAUUUCAAAAGUCCUAAGUGUACCAUUGGCAUAUGGAGCAUUCGAGCAUCCUUUUUCCUCUCUUAGUCCUGCUUCCUCUCGAGAAGUGUUCACUCCAUUCCACUUACACCAGUCACUCUUCAUACCACCAUUAGUUACAGAAGCAUCUGGUUCUGAAAGUAAAGGAAUGUAGAGAGGUUUGGAUGGAAAAAAAGCAUUAGAAUGAGUUUUCUCUUAUGGGUAUUAAAAUAGCACUUUAAGAAAGUGAUUAUUAUAAAUGUUUAAUUUUAUGUCAUAUAUUGUUGGAAUUUGAAAUUUAGCCUUUACUUGAAUGUAUACAGUAGAGUUUUAACAAAGCAAGUUCUAUAUUUAUUAUGUUUAGUGUGAUUUGAAAUUCCGUCUUCCAUGUUUUACAUAAAGUGAAAUUUAUGUAUGAUUUGUACAUAGAUAUACAAGAUUACAUUAAGAGCCUUUAAGAUUUAAAGAUUCUGGGACUUCCCUGGUGGUCCAGUGGCUAAGUCUCUGUACUCCCAAUGCAGGAGGACUGGGUACAAUCCCUAGUCAGGGAAUUAAAUAUCCUGAAUGACUCAACUAAGACCUGGCACAGCCAAAUAGAUAAAUAAGAUUUAAAGAUUUUAUAUUUGGUCAACAUAAUUGAGAUAAGAUUUGGGUUUUGAGGCCCAGUGGGUGCUUGCUUGUUUGUUCAUUUCCCCUAACAUUCAGGUUUAAGUCUACACCUUAGGCUGAGUUCCCUGGAAACUGACUGAGAUCACAUUGUGUGCAAAGGUUUAUUAGGAGGUGCUCUAAGGAGAUAUGGCUUCCCAAGUGGCACAGUGGUAAAGAAUCUGCCUGCCAAUGCAGGAGACAUCAGAGACACGGGUUUGGUCCCUGAGUUGGGAAGAUCUCCUGGAGAAGGAAAUGGCAACCCACUUGAGUAUUCUUGCCUGGAGAAUUCCAUGGACAGAGGAGCUUGGUGGGCUACAGUCCAUAGGGUCACAAAGAGUUGGACAUGACUGAGUGCCUGAACAUGUCACUCACUGAGCAUGUCACUCACUGAGCAUGUCACUAGGGAGACAGACCCAUGAGG